UCCAGAGGGUGCGAGCGUUAAUCGGAAUUACUGGGCGUAAAGCGCGCGUAGGCGGCUUUGCAAGUCGGGUGUGAAAUCCCCAGGCUUAACCUGGGAACUGCAUCCGAUACUGGUCGGCUUGAAUCCGGGAGAGGGAUGCAGAAUUCCAGGUGUAGCGGUGAAAUGCGUAGAUAUCUGGAGGAAUACCGGUGGCGAAGGCGGCAUCCUGGACCGGCAUUGACGCUGAACAGCGAAAGCUAGGGGAGCAAACGGG
rnacentral:rRNA from 1 species